UACGGAGGGUGCAAGCGUUGUCCGGAUUUAUUGGGUUUAAAGGGUGCGUAGGCGGCUUUUUAGGUCAGUGGUGAAAUACAGCAGCUCAACUGUUGAGGUGCCAUUGAUACUGAAGAGCUUGAGUACAGAUGAGGUAGGCGGAAUUUAUGGUGUAGCGGUGAAAUGCAUAGAUACCAUAAAGAACACCGAUUGCGAAGGCAGCUUACUAAGCUGUAACUGACGCUGAGGCACGAAAGCGUGGGGAGCGAACAGG
rnacentral:rRNA from 1 species